AGCGACUGAUCUAGGCAGGGGCAGCCAGCCGCGGAGCACCAGCAUACCGCAAUCCUCUCUUGCGCAGGCAUGCAGUGGACCUGUCCCCUCUUCUACCUCACCAUUUUCUGUGCAGGGGUCUCGUUGGAUAUAAUUUUGGAACCAGUCGCCAAAACUCUGACUGUUCUAGCUGGAAACACUGCCACUAUCUAUUGUAGCAUAACAGGAGCAGACUUGAAGAACUAUCAAAUGAGCUGGUAUAAGAAGAAUGAAGAUAACUCCCUGACUUUAGUAUACAGACAAAGCAACAGUUCUAGUGACAAUUUAAGGAGUAAUUUCAAAGGGAAAAUCGAUGCUUUAAAAAGUCAAUAUAUACUUGACAUUCCAAAAGCAACAAUAAAAGAUGCUGGGACUUACUACUGCGGGUCUGAUAUCCACAGUGCUGCCGCCCUGCUUCUGACCGCCUCAGAACCCCAAGGUGGCAGAUUGAAUUAGAGACCCUCUUUGGCUAAAAUGUGCACCAUGCCUGAGAUGAGGCCAUCUGAUAACCUCAACACUAAC